GUGCUGAGGAACUACCGUCUGUAGUAUCUUCCCUGGAACACAUAUUAGUAAGAGAUUAAGAAGUUCUUAACAAACAUUUAUUAAGAGCUUACUAUGUGCCAAGCAAUUUACUAAGUGUUCAGGAUAGAAGGAAAUAUAAAUGCCUGGUCCUUCAAAAAGUUCACACUCUGAUGUGACAAGACAACACAUUAAAAUCUAUGUACAUAAAAUAGAACAAUGUAGAUAGGCUCAUAUAACCCAUAUAUAUCAGAGAUAGGAUAUUGAGCUCCAGCCUUCCAUGGUUCACCCUGCCAUAGUUAUGAUGGGCAAGAAUGUGAUCUUAAAGGGGUUCAAUAAUGUAGAAAUUUUCAAUAGCCUCCUAAAAAUCCCCCAAUCCUUCUGUGACUAAUUAGGAAAGGACUUUCACAAAAUCAGACAGCAGAAGUGAGAAUUCUGUCCACAUUGAAGUAGCAGAUCUUAAUUUCCUAACUUGAUUUUCUCUAUGUAAAUAAUUUACCAGCCUAAAAGUGAGAUAACAGCAAUUCACAAUGGGGUGGGGACAAUUAAAUUUAGGCCUAUAAUAAAAACACAUUUCACAUAUAUUUCUCUAGCAAAAUGACGUUCCACAAGUUGAAAAGAAGCAAACCCUGUCUAAGCUCUCAAAGGCUAACUGCUGAGGACCAGCCUGACUACAGCAAAGUCCCACGCAGAUGUGGCUUCUUCUGAGAAAUGGAUAAGAGUGAUUCUUCAAGCAAACUUUUAAAAGGGGGCCUUCUCCUCUGCUCCUGAAUUAGAAGAUGUUCAAAUCUUCUGGUCUGAGGAGUAAUAUUUUCACCCACAAUGUGGAGGGAAGUGUACACAAGCUUGUCGUGGCCAAAGCAUGAAAUAGAGGCUUUCAAGAUUCAAAGGACAGAAGCCACAACUUCCUUGCCCAGUGUCCCUUUAAUCAUAGCAUCGAUCUAAUUGAAGCUUUUCCCUCCCAUGUAAAUUUGUGCUGAAAUGUAAUUUUAGGGAGGAAAAUACUGAUUUUGAUUUACUCACAAACCAAGAAAACACUGAUGAAAACGUUGAUUGCAUUUACUCCUCCUGUUGUAAUGAAUGACCACAUUGGAAAAGGGGGGAGUCUGGUCGGCAGCUGUCUAUAAACUUGAAAAAUACACUUUUCUAUUCCAUACAAUACCAUAAAUUUUUAGAAUAAAAAGAACAACCCGAUAUGGAUUUUUAAAAAAAAUAAUAAAAUUGGCUAACUCAAUUGACUAAAAUGUGUUUCCCUCCAUGCAGAGGUAUACAUUAUAACGUCGUCACUCAUAUUUCUGAACAUCAAUCAAAUUUUAUAAUAAAAUUGUUUUUGAUGAAUCA